AUUGAACGCUGGCGGCAGGCCUAACACAUGCAAGUCGAGCGGAUGAAGGGAGCUUGCUCCUGGAUUCAGCGGCGGACGGGUGAGUAAUGCCUAGGAAUCUGCCUGGUAGUGGGGGAUAACGUCCGGAAACGGGCGCUAAUACCGCAUACGUCCUGAGGGAGAAAGUGGGGGAUCUUCGGACCUCACGCUAUCAGAUGAGCCUAGGUCGGAUUAGCUAGUUGGUGGGGUAAAGGCCUACCAAGGCGACGAUCCGUAACUGGUCUGAGAGGAUGAUCAGUCACACUAGAACUGAGACACGGUCCAGACUCCUACGGGAGGCAGCAGUGGUGAAUAUUGGACAAUGGGCGAAAGCCUGAUCCAGCCAUGCCGCGUGUGUGAAGAAGGUCUUCGGAUUGUAAAGCACUUUAAGUUGGGAGGAAGGGCAGUAAGUUAAUACCUUGCUGUUUUGACGUUACCAACAGAAUAAGCACCGGCUAACUUCGUG
rnacentral:rRNA from 1 species